UUUAAAAUCGAUAAUCUUAAACGUAAAUCGUGUAAAGAGAGCAUGAGAUGUUAGUACACAAGCCAUAGCCCCUACUGCCAUUCCCCUUCUUUACCUAACCACAGGACAUCCCAAGUGAAAGCUUCUUGCUUGAUAACUAGUAUAACUAGGGAAUUUAUCAUAAUUAAUAAUGUCAAACACACGAAUUUAAGUAACGUUGUUCCUACUAUAGAUCAUAGAUCUCAGGGUCAAAAAGAAAGGAAUCAUG
rnacentral:lncRNA from 1 species